UGGAUCCAUCUAAAUUAAUUAAAUACAACCCCUCUCACUGCAAUUGUUGAUAUCCAUGUCCUCUCAGAUUUAGGGUUCAUGGGGUUUUCUUGGUUUGAUGUGGGUUUGUUUAGCAAAGGACUUCCCCGCAGAGUUUAUUGGCAUUCUGUCCACCUCCUUUCCCGCCUUCAGUGAGUGUUUACUGUCUGGUUGGGGUUUUAUAUGAUGUUGGGGAGGUGGGCAUGCUGCCAAUUCAGCUCUGUCGGAUUCUCUUUGUAACACCCCUCAUUACAAAGAAGUUGAAAUCAAGGCUUGUUUAAAAGGUCUCUGAAUCUUCAAAUCUCAACUCUCCACUGCAAAUUCUGUCAAGAAAAAUGAAAUGAAAUGAUUGUUUCUCUUUUGCAGCUCACGGGGCCGAAAUCAUAAUGAUGAUGAACGCAAAGUUAUUCAAUUUCCCAACCCUUCAUUUCAAUACCCAAAGAUGCUUCCAUUGUUACCCUCUCUUCAGGGUGGCGCGUGUGUGUUUCAGUCGGCGGUUCGCGGCGGCGAUUGGAGGCCACGGAUUGUUUAUGGAAGGUGUGCGUAUUUUCUGGGUUUAUUUUUUUUGGUAUUGGAAUUUGAGCCUAUGAAGAUCUGAUAUGAUCUUCUUCUUGGAGCUUUGGAGUUAGGGUUUGGUGUCCUAAUAAUGUUCUUCUGCAGAUCACUGUCGUAGAGCUUGGGGUGAGAUUUCCUACGGAUAAAUUUUACAUUUGUGCGGGGUUUGAGGUGGAAUUUUCCAUGAAGAAUUUGUCGAG